rfam:Lyngbya sp. PCC 8106 1099428180558, whole genome shotgun sequence.
GAGUAGAUGCACCCUGAUGGUUAUCCCCUAGCUUCGGUUAGGGGAUUUUUUU